rnacentral:rRNA from 1 species
AUUGAACGCUGGCGGCAUGCCUAACACAUGCAAGUCGAACGAGUGGCGGACGGGUGAGUAAUGUCUGGGAAACUGCCUGAUGGAGGGGGAUAACUACUGGAAACGGUAGCUAAUACCGCUUCCCAUCAGAUGUGCCCACAUGGGAUUAGCUAGUUGGUGGGGUAACGGCUCACCAAGGCGACGCUCCCUAGCUGGUCUGAGAGGAUGACCAGCCACACUGGAACUGAGACACGGUCCAGACUCCUACGGGAGGCAGCAGUGGGGAAUAUUGGACAAUGGGCGCAAGCCUGAUGCAGCCAUGCCGCGUGUAUGAAGAAGGCCUUCGGGUUGUAAAGUACUUUCAGCGGGGAGGCGUUACCCGCAGAAGAAGCACCGGCUAACUCCGUGCCAGCAGCCGCGGUAAUUC